rnacentral:misc_RNA from 1 species
ACGCCGUCAGCGUUCUUCAGCGUUCUUCAGCGUCUUCAGCGUUCC